CAAGUCGCACGAGAAAGUGGAGCAAUCCAUGAGUACAGUGGCGCACGGGUGAGUAACACGUGACUAACCUACCCUCGAGUGGGGAAUAACCUAGGGAAACCUGGGCUAAUACCGCAUAACACUUACGAGUCAAAGCAGCAAUGCGCUUGGGGAGGGGGUCGCGGCAGAUUGGCUAGUUGGUGGGGUAAUGGCCUACCAAGGCGAUGAUCUGUAUCCGGCCUGAGAGGGCGCACGGACACACUGGAACUGAAACACGGUCCAGACUCCUACGGGAGGCAGCAGUGGGGAAUUUUGCGCAAUGGGGGAAACCCUGACGCAGCAACGCCGCGUGGAGGAUGAAAUCCCUUGGGAUGUAAACUCCUUUCGAUCGGGACGAUUAUGACGGUACCGGAAGAAGAAGCCCCGGCUAACUUCGUGCCAGCAGCCGCGGUAAUACGAGGGGGGCAAGCGUUGUUCGGAAUUAUUGGGCGUAAAGGGUGCGUAGGCGGUUUGACAAGUCAUCUGUGAAAUCUAUGGGCUCAACCCAUAGUCUGCAGGCGAAACUGUCGGGCUUGAGUAUGGGAGAGGUGAGUGGAAUUUCCGGUGUAGCGGUGAAAUGCGUAGAUAUCGGAAGGAACACCUGUGGCGAAAGCGGCUCACUGGACCAUUACUGACGCUGAUGCACGAAAGCUAGGGGAGCAAACAGGAUUAGAUACCCUGGUAGUCCUAGCCCUAAACGAUGAUUGCUUGAUGUGGAGGGUACCCAAUCCUUCCGUGUCGAAGCUAACGCGAUAAGCAAUCCGCCUGGGGAGUACGGUCGCAAGGCUGA
rnacentral:rRNA from 1 species